AUCCCAUGAUGAGGGCAAUUCUUUAUCAUCAUGUUAAACCUCUCAAAUGCCUCAUGGAAAAUCUCACCUUGUAGUUGUUGGAAACUUCUCAACCCUUUUCUAGCAU
rnacentral:snoRNA from 2 species